AGUGAACGCUGGCGGUAGGCCUAACACAUGCAAGUCGAACGGCAGCACAGUAAGAGCUUGCUCUUACGGGUGGCGAGUGGCGGACGGGUGAGGAAUACAUCGGAAUCUACUUUUUCGUGGGGGAUAACGUAGGGAAACUUACGCUAAUACCGCAUACGACAUACGGGUGAAAGCAGGGGAUCUUCGGACCUUGCGCGAUUGAAUGAGCCGAUGUCGGAUUAGCUAGUUGGCGGGGUAAAGGCCCACCAAGGCGACGAUCCGUAGCUGGUCCGAGAGGAUGAUCAGCCACACUGGAACUGAGACACGGUCCAGACUCCUACGGGAGGCAGCAGUGGGGAAUAUUGGACAAUGGGCGCAAGCCUGAUCCAGCCAUACCGCGUGGGUGAAGAAGGCCUUCGGGUUGUAAAGCCCUUUUGUUGGGAAAGAAAAGCAGCAGGUUAAUACCCCGCUGUUCUGACGGUACCCAAAGAAUAAGCACCGGCUAACUUCGUG
rnacentral:rRNA from 1 species